rnacentral:rRNA from 1 species
AUUGAACGCUGGCGGCAUGCCUUACACAUGCAAGUCGAACGGUAACAGGUCUUCGGAUGCUGACGAGUGGCGAACGGGUGAGUAAUACAUCGGAACGUGCCCGAGAGUGGGGGAUAACGAAGCGAAAGCUUUGCUAAUACCGCAUACGAUCUCAGGAUGAAAGCAGGGGACCGCAAGGCCUUGCGCUCACGGAGCGGCCGAUGGCAGAUUAGGUAGUUGGUGGGAUAAAAGCUUACCAAGCCGACGAUCUGUAGCUGGUCUGAGAGGACGACCAGCCACACUGGGACUGAGAGACGGCCCAGACUCCUACGGGAGGCAGCAGUGGGGAAUUUUGGACAAUGGGCGCAAGCCUGAUCCAGCCAUGCCGCGUGCAGGAAGAAGGCCUUCGGGUUGUAAACUGCUUUUGUACGGAACGAAACGGUCCUGGUUAAUACCCGGGGCUAAUGACGGUACCGUAAGAAUAAGCACCGGCUAACUACGUGCCAGCCGCCGCCGUAACAC